UACGUAGGGUGCGAGCGUUGUCCGGAAUUAUUGGGCGUAAAGGGCUCGUAGGCGGUUUGUCGCGUCGGGAGUGAAAACCUCGGGCUUAACUCGGGGCUUGCUUUCGAUACGGGCAGACUAGAGGUAUGCAGGGGAGAACGGAAUUCCUGGUGUAGCGGUGAAAUGCGCAGAUAUCAGGAGGAACACCGGUGGCGAAGGCGGCCAUCUGGGUCGUUUCUGACGCUGAGGCGCGAAAGCGUGGGGAGCAAACAGG
rnacentral:rRNA from 1 species